GGGUAUGAUGACCCACAUUUACAGACUAGAGUUUCUGAUGUCCACGUGACGCCACUCCUUGUAACUGACCC
rnacentral:snoRNA from 1 species